rnacentral:lncRNA from 1 species
CAAAUGCAGCCCAAAAUCCAUGGCAAACAAGUCUUCUGGAUCAGACUGUUGUUGGUUAUCUGGUGUGGAGUAAGUGCACUUAGCAUGCUGACUUGCUCAUCAGUUUUGCACAGUGGCAAUUUUGGGACUGAUUUAGAACAGAAACUCCAUUGGAACCCCGAGGACAAAAUAUUGUCAAAAUAUGAAGAGCAUUGCGAUGGCAGAAGAGUUUUCUGAGAAAUUGACUCCCCUAAAUGGUUAUGUGCUUCACAUGAUCACUACUGCAGCA